AACGAACGCUGGCGGCAUGCCUAACACAUGCAAGUCGAACGAGACCUUCGGGUCCAGUGGCGCGCGGGUGCGUAACGCGUGGGAACCUGCCCUUAGGUUCGGAAUAACUCCCCGAAAGGGGUGCUAAUACCGGAUAAUGUCUUCGGACCAAAGAUUUAUCGCCUUUGGAUGGGCCCGCGUUGGAUUAGCUAGUUGGUAGGGUAAAAGCCUACCAAGGCGACGAUCCAUAGCUGGUCUGAGAGGAUGAUCAGCCACACUGGGACUGAGACACGGCCCAGACUCCUACGGGAGGCAGCAGUGGGGAAUAUUGGACAAUGGGCGAAAGCCUGAUCCAGCAAUGCCGCGUGAGUGAUGAAGGCCUUAGGGUUGUAAAGCUCUUUUACCCGGGAUGAUAAUGACAGUACCGGGAGAAUAAGCUCCGGCUAACUCCGUG
rnacentral:rRNA from 1 species